AUUAUGCAUGGACUUGAACGCUUCAAGCGCAAGACAGAGAUAACUCCGCACGCUGUUAGCGGCAUCGGCAGGGUGCCGCUGAGAUAACAUCCACGCGAUUCUGAUCGAAAAGACCUUUCUACAAAACGAGGGAGGAAGAGAAAGGAAAUCACAAUUUUCGUAAGCUGCCCUUAAAGUCCAGGGGUAACAGCUGCCUUCCGGUACCUACACUGAGGCCACCAAGACAGAGCCAGGCCCUGUACAGCACGGCUGGAAGGAAAGGGAUGGCAGACAUCAGCUGAAGACUGCCUCUGCCAAGAAGGAAAGAAGGGAAGCUGUUCAUCACUUCAACUACCAGGAAGAGCUCUUUGUUUUGAGAUACUUCUGUGGGUUUUUUGCACUUUGAGUGGAAUAAAGUUAUGGGACAGCAAGGAAUGAAAGCAAAAACCUGUCUGCCAGAUACUUUCCAGGAAACAAUCAGUGACUACACAGCUGUUUAAUUUUUUCCAUGUAUUUCACAUACUUACAUUUUAAAUAUAAAGAUUGUCAAAUGGUGAAGAAAAACGUGGGAAUAAAUCUUUUUUU
rnacentral:lncRNA from 7 species